ensembl:lncRNA
CAAGUACUAACAAGCCUCGAUCCUCCUACUUCUCCCCAGCGGAGUUGCAAAUCUUAAUGACUGCAUAUGCAGAAAGCGUGCAUAUCUUUUUACUAAAAAGCAAUACUAUGGCAGCAGCCAAAAAGCGGGAGCUCGCGUGGGAAAAAAUAGCUGACCGAGUUAAUGCGUACAACCCAACAGGCCCCAAACUGACUUGGCAGCAACUAAAAAUGAUAUAUAAAUGUAGUUCAAACAGCCAACAGAAAAAAGGCAGAGGCACGCAAAACAGGUGGCGGUCCACCACCACCACCUCUCACAGAGGCUGAAGAGAUGGCAUCUCUGGGGGGAGCUCAUCGGACCCAGCCACGCCCCAGGACACAGGGGCCUACAUAAGAGUUACUGAUGAUGGUGUAAUCUGUCUCGUGGAGCCUUCUGCCAUAACACACCUCCAUGCUGUUGAUGAUGAUGAAGACACCUUAUCAGCUGCCAUAGAGAGGGAAGUAAUAACUUUGGUUUCAGUUAAUUGUUCCACAAUACAACUCGCAACUUCUUUCUCCCUAACAGAGCAAUGCCGGAAGUUACAAUCAGG